AGCGAACGCUGGCGGCAGGCUUAACACAUGCAAGUCGAGCGGGCGUAGCAAUACGUCAGCGGCAGACGGGUGAGUAACGCGUGGGAACAUACCUUUUGGUUCGGAACAACCCAGGGAAACUUGGGCUAAUACCGGAUAAGCCCUUACGGGGAAAGAUUUAUCGCCGAAAGAUUGGCCCGCGUCUGAUUAGCUAGUUGGUGAGGUAAUGGCUCACCAAGGCGACGAUCAGUAGCUGGUCUGAGAGGAUGAUCAGCCACAUUGGGACUGAGACACGGCCCAAACUCCUACGGGAGGCAG
rnacentral:rRNA from 1 species